rnacentral:rRNA from 1 species
UGCAGUUAAAAAGCUCGUAGUUGGAUUUCGGGUGGGGCCUGCCGGUCCGCCGUUUCGGUGUGCACUGGCAGGGCCCACCUUGUUGCCGGGGACGGGCUCCUGGGCUUCACUGUCCGGGACUCGGAGUCGGCGCUGUUACUUUGAGUAAAUUAGAGUGUUCAAAGCAGGCCUACGCUCUGAAUACAUUAGCAUGGAAUAACACGAUAGGACUCUGGCCUAUCCUGUUGGUCUGUAGGACCGGAGUAAUGAUUAAGAGGGACAGUCGGGGGCAUUCGUAUUUCAUUGUCAGAGGUGAAAUUCUUGGAUUUAUGAAAGACGAACUACUGCGAAAGCAUUUGCCAAGGAUGUUUUCAUUAAUCAAGAACGAAAGUUGGGGGCUCGAAGA